rnacentral:rRNA from 1 species
UACGUAGGGUGCAAGCGUUGUCCGGAAUUAUUGGGCGUAAAGAGCUCGUAGGCGGUCUGUCGCGUCGGCUGUGAAAACCCGGGGCUCAACUCCGGGCCUGCAGUCGAUACGGGCAGACUAGAGUGUGGUAGGGGAGACUGGAAUUCCUGGUGUAGCGGUGAAAUGCGCAGAUGUCAGGAGGAACACCGGUGGCGAAGGCGGGUCUCUGGGCCGAUAUUGACGCUGAGGAGCGAAAGCGUGGGGAGCGAACAGG